GAGUUUGAACCUGGCUCAGGAUGAACGCUGGCGGCGUGCCUAACACAUGCAAGUCGAACGGGGGCGUGAUGUGCGAGAGGGAUAGUUUACUAGACUUCAAACUUUUCACGCCCUAGUGGCGGACGGGUGAGUAACGCGUGGGUAACCUGCCAUAUACAGGGGGAUAACACUUAGAAAUAGGUGCUAAUACCGCAUAAGCGCACAGGGGCGCAUGCCCCGGUGUGAAAAACUCCGGUGGUAUAUGAUGGACCCGCGUCUGAUUAGCCAGUUGGCAGGGUAACGGCCUACCAAAGCGACGAUCAGUAGCCGGCCUGAGAGGGCGGACGGCCACAUUGGGACUGAGACACGGCCCAAACUCCUACGGGAGGCAGCAGUGGGGGAUAUUGCACAAUGGGGGAAACCCUGAUGCAGCGACGCCGCGUGAGUGAAGAAGUAUUUCGGUAUGUAAAGCUCUAUCAGCAGGGAAGAAAAUGACAGUACCUGACCAAGAAGCCCCGGCUA
rnacentral:rRNA from 1 species